rnacentral:rRNA from 1 species
UACGAAGGGUGCAAGCGUUACUCGGAAUUACUGGGCGUAAAGCGUGCGCAGGCGGUUUUGUAAGCCAGAUGUGAAAUCCCCGGGCUUAACCUGGGAAUGGCGUUUGGGACUGCAAGGCUUGAGUGCGGCAGAGGAGACUGGAAUUCCUGGUGUAGCGGUGAAAUGCGCAGAUAUCAGGAAGAACACCCGUGGCGAAGGCGGCUCUCUGGGACGGUACUGACGCUGAGACGCGAAAGCGUGGGGAGCGAACAGG